GAUUAAUGGCAGUGAGUUUGCUGCAGAGUUCUGCCCGGUGCCUGUUAGCCCCCGGGUGAGACACCCUCCUCACUUUAAAAGGCUGGCAGUAAGAACCGUGGCACAGAAACUGGAACAGGUGUAUGUGCACUGUUCGGUGGCAGUGUGCUCUCCUACCAACACACAACCUGGCAGCACCUGCAGAGGACAGUGCAGCUCAAGCAGGGAGAGGAAGGGCUUUCCAGGUCACCCUUCCGACAGUCUCCAGGGCUAUGUACUUGCUGGACCAGUAUGGAUUGUUGCUCCAGAUCGAAGAUGACACACAUAAACUGGAUUUGCACCUGAAGGCUCUGCUGUGCUGGCUGCUUUCCAAAUGGUGCCACUGGACGCAGGAGCUACUGCUUCCAGGAACCACCAGAACUAUUUGCAUGAAGUUUAAAGACCAGAUGGUGGGACAGCACUGGAAAGUUCUUGAGUCUGCUGGCAGCAUCAGUAAAUCUUGCAACCUGUUGCCUCUCUGAAGUGACUACAGAAGAAAACUUAGCAGAAAACGACCCAAGGCUGCAAAAGAACACUUUGUGUUUCUUCCAGAUGCUCAAAUAUGGACUUGCAGAUCACUAAAAUUAUUCCAGUCCUAAUUAUGGCUGCUUCUUGUAAUACUUCAUAAAGUAGCUGCCAAUCCUCCCAUCUGAAUGUAAAGUGCAAAUCUGAAAAGUCAAAUAAAAAUGCACCACAGCAAUGUAA